GAUGAACGCUGGCGGCGUGCCUAACACAUGCAAGUCGAGCGAAGCGGGGACGGGUGAGUAAUUCGUGGAUAACUUCCGAUAAGACUGGGAAAACAUCGGGAAACCGGAGCUAAACCCGAAAGUUACAGAUGGAUACGCGCUGCAUUAGCUAGUUGGUAAGGUAACGGCUUACCAAGUCAACGAUGCAUAGCCGACCUGAUAGGGUGAUCGGCCACCCUGUAACGGAGACACGGUCCAGCCUCCUACGGGAGGCAGCAGUGGGGAAUCUUCCGCCAUGGGCGAAAGCCUGACGGAGCAACGCCGCGUGUGUGAUGAAGGUCUUCGGGUCGUAAAGCUCUUUUAUUAGGGAGGCGGUACCUAAUCAGAAAGCCACGGCUAACUACGUGCCAGCAGCCGCGGUAAUAC
rnacentral:rRNA from 1 species